rnacentral:rRNA from 1 species
AUUGAACGCUGGCGGCAUGCUUUACACAUGCAAGUCGAACGGUAACAGGCCGCAAGGUGCUGACGAGUGGCGAACGGGUGAGUAAUGCAUCGGAACGUGCCCAGUCGUGGGGGAUAACGCAGCGAAAGCUGUGCUAAUACCGCAUACGAUCUGUGGAUGAAAGCGGGGGACCUUCGGGCCUCGCGCGAUUGGAGCGGCCGAUGUCAGAUCAGGUAGUUGGUGGGAGAAAGGCUCACCAAGCCGACGAUCUGUAGCUGGUCUGAGAGGACGACCAGCCACACUGGGACUGAGACACGGCCCAGACUCCGACGGGAGGCAGCAGUGGUGAAUUGUGGACAAGGGGCGCAAGCCUGAUCCAGCAAUGCCGCGUGCAGGAAGAAGGCCUUCGGGUUGUAAACUGCUUUUGUACGGAGCAAAUGCUGGUGGCUAACAUCCACCGGAGCUGAGAGUACCGGAAGAAUAAGCACCGGCUAACUACGUGCCAGCAGCCGCGGUAACAC